rnacentral:lncRNA from 1 species
CAAGCUCGGACCAUAUCCUCAAAUAUGCGGAUCAUCUUUCUGACUGUCCAUCAGUCUAAGAGUGGAAUGCAAUACUAAGGGACAGUUUCGUUCCUAUGGCUUGCUGAAAACUAGACCAGAACCUAGAAGUGAACCUGGGGUACCUGUCAGACACUACUGUCAAUAGCACUCCAUGUAAUCUAACUAUCUUCUGCAUAUAUAU